GACGUAGGGCGCGAGCGUUGUCCGGAUUUAUUGGGCGUAAAGAGCUCGUAGGCGGCUUGUCGCGUCGACUGUGAAAACCCGCGGCUCAACUGAGGAACUGCCUUUGAAACUGUCGGGCUUGAGGCCGGGAGGGGGUAGCGGAAUUCCCAGUGUAGCGGUGAAAUGCGUAGAUAUUGGGAGGAACACCAGUGGCGAAGGCGGCUACCUGGACCGGUUCUGACGCUGAUGCGCGAAAGCGUGGGUAGCAAACAGG
rnacentral:rRNA from 1 species